GCGGCAGGCUUAACACAUGCAAGUCGAGGGGCAGCGGGGAGGAAGCUUGCUUUCUCCGCCGGCGACCGGCGCACGGGUGAGUAACACGUAUGCAACCUGCCCCUGUCAGGGGGACAACCCGCCGAAAGGCGGGCUAAACCCGCGUACAUGCCACCGGGGCAUCCCGGAGGCAGGAAAGGCUUCGGCCGGACAGGGAUGGGCAUGCGGCGCAUUAGGCAGUAGGCGGGGUAACGGCCCACCUAACCGACGAUGCGUAGGGGUUCUGAGAGGAAGGUCCCCCACACUGGUACUGAGACACGGACCAGACUCCUACGGGAGGCAGCAGUGAGGAAUAUUGGUCAAUGGUCGGGAGACUGAACCAGCCAAGCCGCGUGAGGGAGGAAGGUACAGAGUAUCGUAAACCUCUUUUGUCAGGGAACAAAGGCGGGGACGUGUCCCCGGAUGAGUGUACCUGAAGAAAAAGCAUCGGCUAACUCCGUGCCAGCAGCCGCGGUAAUACGGAGGAUGCGAGCGUUAUCCGGAUUUAUUGGGUUUAAAGGGUGCGCAGGCGGUCUGUUAAGUCAGCGGUCAAAGCCCGGGGCUCAACCCCGGCCCGCCGUUGAAACUGGCAGUCUCGAGUUGGAGAGAAGUAUGCGGAAUGCGCGGUGUAGCGGUGAAAUGCAUAGAUAUCGCGCAGAACUCCGAUUGCGAAGGCAGCAUGCCGGCUCCACACUGACGCUGAGGCACGAAAGCGUGGGUAUCGAACAGGAUUAGAUACCCUGGUAGUCCACGCAGUAAACGAUGAAUGCUGGCUGUCCGGGGGGAUUGACCCCUGGGUGGCGAAGCGAAAGCGAUAAGCAUUCCACCUGGGGAGUACGCCGGCAACGGUGAAACUCAAAGGAAUUGACGGGGGCCCGCACAAGCGGAGGAACAUGUGGUUUAAUUCGAUGAUACGCGAGGAACCUUACCCGGGCUCAAACGGGGAGUGACUCAGGCAGAGACGCCUGUUUCCCACGGGACACUCCCCGAGGUGCUGCAUGGUUGUCGUCAGCUCGUGCCGUGAGGUGUCGGCUUAAGUGCCAUAACGAGCGCAACCCCCGCGUGCAGUUGCUAACAGAUAACGCUGAGGACUCUGCACGGACUGCCGGCGCAAGCCGCGAGGAAGGCGGGGAUGACGUCAAAUCAGCACGGCCCUUACGUCCGGGGCGACACACGUGUUACAAUGGGUGGUACAGCGGGAAGCCAGGCGGCGACGCCGAGCGGAACCCGAAAUCCACUCUCAGUUCGGAUCGGAGUCUGCAACCCGACUCCGUGAAGCUGGAUUCGCUAGUAAUCGCGAAUCAGCCAUGGCGCGGUGAAUACGUUCCCGGGC
rnacentral:rRNA from 1 species